rnacentral:rRNA from 1 species
UACGUAGGGUGCGAGCGUUAAUCGGAAUUACUGGGCGUAAAGCGUGCGCAGGCGGUUCGUUGUGUCUGAUGUGAAAGCCCCGGGCUCAACCUGGGAAUGGCAUUGGAAACUGGCGAGCUAGAGUGUGGCAGAGGGGGGUGGAAUUCCGCGUGUAGCAGUGAAAUGCGUAGAGAUGCGGAGGAACACCGAUGGCGAAGGCAGCCCCCUGGGCCAAUACUGACGCUCAUGCACGAAAGCGUGGGGAGCAAACAGG